AACACCCCGCACCCGCCCCCUUUAACGCGGCGGCUUUAAAUGGCCCCGGGGGCGUGAGGGGAAAACUCACGGGAACUUCGUGGGAACUGCCAGCGUUACAAACAUGGCAUCCGCACAGCCCUGUUUCAGAAUUCUCUUCCUUCAGAAGUCUGGGCCGAAGUCGUGCAGCCAAUCCAGGCUGGGCUUGCUCCUUGGCAUGAGGGCAGCUGAGCCCCUCAGGGAGAGCGGUUGCAGGCAGCAGCAAGGUGAAGUCUUGGUGACAAUGGUCACAGCUACAGCCAGUCUUGUCCCUGCUGGUGGGGUCACUGGGGGUGUAACUGCUGUGUGCCAAGGUUGUGAGUGGUGCUGUGCUCUGCUCUGCUUAACAAGCCAGUGCCAUCAAUGAGCAUUUGACAGUUUCAUCAACAAAUUUGUCAGUUCAAGACAUCAGAAGGUUUUUAAAGUAGUGAGAAUCUGUUUCUUGCUUAAGCAUGUGCAAAUCCAUAUACAGACUGCAGAGAGUUAUAUAACAUCUUUAAAGAGACAGAAAUAGGUUUCAUUGAUGUUAAAUACUUGCUCUUCAGUGACAGCAAUAUUUCCGUGUGAUAUUCUAAUACAUGUUUGUCACAUCUUGUUAUGGGUAAUCCAUUUGAAAAAAAAAAGUUCGGUAGUUUA